rnacentral:rRNA from 1 species
UAGGGAAUAUUGGUCAAUGGGCGGAAGCCUGAACCAGCCAUGCCGCGUGCAGGAAGAAGGCCCUCUGGGUUGUAAACUGCUUUUGACUAGGAACAAAAAGGUCAUGCGUGACAAAUUGAGUGUACUAGUAGAAUAAGCCACGGCUAACUACGUGCCAGCAGCCGCGGUAAUACGUAGGUGGCAAGCGUUGUCCGGAUUUAUUGGGUUUAAAGGGUGCGUAGGCGGCUAUCUAAGUCAGUUGUGAAAUAUCCCGGCUUAACCGGGAGGGUGCGAUUGAUACUGGGUAGCUUGAGUUCCGUAGAGGUAGGCGGAAUUGAAGGUGUAGCGGUGAAAUGCAUAGAUAUCUUCAAGAACACCGAUAGCGAAGGCAGCUUACUAAAGGGAAACUGACGCUGAGGCA